CAUUUUUCUUGAAACUGCGGCUCGGGACCUGCGGUACCUGCUGUAGUCACGAGGGACGGGCGGCGGCCUGGUCGGCAGAGAGUAGCCUGCAACAUUCGGCCGUAGUUACGAUGAGUUUACCCCUCAAUCCCAAACCUUUCCUCAAUGGACUAACAGGAAAGCCAGUGAUGGUGAAACUUAAGUGGGGAAUGGAGUACAAGGGCUAUCUGGUAUCUGUAGAUGGCUACAUGAACAUGCAGGUAAGCUAAAGAGCUGUAAAGGUCAUAACAUUGCAUUUAUUUUGCUUCACCUUGUUUCUCAAAGGUUUAGUCUGACUAAUAAGAAUACAUACAAUUAAAUUGACAAAUAUACGGCAAAAUUCAAAAAUGAAGUCAAAGCCAGGGAGGAUACUGUGAUAUAACUACGUAGAAGACAUGGACUUAAACCAGAAUUCAGCUACAGAUUUUAUUCCUAGUAAUUAAAGUUAAGAGCUCAGACAUUUGAUUCAUAAUAAUACCAUAAGGGAAACACACUCCUUUGCUGGAGAAAACAAAACAUUUCUCAUCAUUUAGCCCUGAAAGAAAGUUUUCAAGUGAAAUUCUUGAGUCUUUUAAUGGAUGCUAAAGGCACAACACCAAAGCUAUUGAGGAAAUUCAUUCCUUCAGGGGAAAGACAGAUCUGCCGAAGGAAUUGAACUGACUGUAUGUCUGUCAAAUGAGUUUCUGUAAAUGAUUCAGCCAUGUGUUUUGGUGGGUUUUUUUGUAAUUAAUUUUUUUUUUAUUGUGGUAAAAUACACAUUAUGAUUUU
rnacentral:sRNA from 1 species